rnacentral:rRNA from 1 species
ACUCUGUUGUCAGGGACGAAGGUGCAUCUUUCGAACAGAUGGGUGUAUUGACGGUACCUGACGAGGAAGCCACGGCUAACUACGUGCCAGCAGCCGCGGUAAUACGUAGGUGGCAAGCGUUGUCCGGAAUUAUUGGGCGUAAAGAGCAUGUAGGCGGGCCUUUAAGUCCGACGUGAAAAUGCGGGGCUCAACCCCGUAUGGCGUUGGAUACUGGAGGUCUUGAGUGCAGGAGAGGAAAGGGGAAUUCCCAGUGUAGCGGUGAAAUGCGUAGAUAUUGGGAGGAACACCAGUGGCGAAGGCGCCUUUCUGGACUGUGUCUGACGCUGAGAUGCGAAAGCCAGGGUAGCGAACGGGAUUAGAUACCCCGGUAGUCCUGGCCGUAAACGAUGGGUACUAGGUGUAGGAGGUAUCGACCCCUUCUGUGCCGGAGUUAACGCAAUAAGUACCCCGCCUGGGGAGUACGGCCGCAAGGCUGAAACUCAAAGGAAUUGACGGGGGCCCGCACAAGCAGCGGAGCAUGUGGUUUAAUUCGAAGCAACGCGAAGAACCUUACCAAGGCUUGACAUCCUCUGACGACUGUAGAGAUACAGUUUCCCUUCGGGGCAGAGAGACAGGUGGUGCAUGGUUGUCGUCAGCUCGUGUCGUGAGAUGUUGGGUUAAGUCCCGCAACGAGCGCAACCCUUAAGUUUAGUUGCCAUCAUUAAGUUGGGCACUCU